GACGAACGCUGGCGGCGUGCUUAACACAUGCAAGUCGAACGGAAAGGCCCUGCUUUUGUGGGGUGCUCGAGUGGCGAACGGGUGAGUAACACGUGAGUAACCUGCCCUUGACUUUGGGAUAACUUCAGGAAACUGGGGCUAAUACCGGAUAGGAGCUCCUGCUGCAUGGUGGGGGUUGGAAAGUUUCGGCGGUUGGGGAUGGACUCGCGGCUUAUCGGCUUGUUGGUGGGGUAGUGGCUUACCAAGGCUUUGACGGGUAGCCGGCCUGAGAGGGUGACCGGCCACAUUGGGACUGAGAUACGGCCCAGACUCCUACGGGAGGCAGAAGUGGGGAAUAUUGCACAAUGGGCGGAAGCCUGAUGCAGCAACGCCGCGUGCGGGAUGACGGCCUUCGGGUUGUAACCCGCUUUCGCCUGUGACGAAGCGUGAGUGACGGUAAUGGGUAAAGAAGCACCGGCUAACUACGUG
rnacentral:rRNA from 1 species